rnacentral:lncRNA from 1 species
CUUGUCCCCUGAGUUUGUUCUUGCUGCCCACUGGGCCAGUCUUUGGGGUUGGGGAGCAAGAAGCUGUGAGGCAUGGAGUGGUCACGAGAAGGACUUAAGACCAAGGGAUGCCUACCACGGCAUGGCUUUAUAAGCGGUGCGUAUGUCUGCACCCGGGAUCUAAACCAGUGAAACCUGGGCCGCUGAAGUGGAACGUGCGAACUUAACUGCUGCGCCGAGGGGCUGGCCCCUUCCCAUACGUCUUGAGUACUUUAAACUCUUAGAACCACUGCGUGUGCAGGGGCUUCAAUGGCAGCCUUGCUGCCCGUCCCAGAAUCCCACAAUGGCGGGAAUUCUUGGGGAGAUACCUGGAUCAGUCAGUAGAGGCGGGUGGGGAGCUGAGAUCUUGGGUCCACAAGUGACCAACAAGCUGAGGUCACAAAGGCUACAGAAAUUGCUCUGUAUUAGAAAUGAACUGGAAUCGGGUGAGAAGAGGAGCUGGCAAAAUAGCACAAGGUUGGAGACAAGGGGAAUGAAAACGGGGGUGGAGAAGAAGAAAACCCACCACAGUGGGAUGGCCACUGGCUUCAAAGAACAAGAGCACCCGCACUCAGUUUGAGACUGCUUCUGCCACAGAGAGCCGGGUGGCUGGGCGGCUUUGCUGUGUGAACGGGAUUCAAUGGAAAGGGCUGCCUUCUGUCAGGGUGCAGAACGGGAGCAGCACUCCUGGAACGUCUGGGUGAACCACACAGAGAGCAAGAGCAGGGACCCAGCGGUGGUCGUGAGAACACAAGCCCCUCAGGUCUUAUGGACACAUGGGCAAAACUUUGGACUUCCAUGUGGGCAGAUGGGAGUUUGUGCCCACAAAUCCAGGUCUCAGGAGCCUGGGAGAGGCCAGCGUAUAUCUGAGUUACACAAGAAGGCUCCAGGGCCAUGAGGCUGCAGGGAAUUGUAAAAGCAAUUGUUGAUAUGGAGGCACCAUAAGAUGGAAGCAUCCUGGAAUGCUGAGCCAACACAUGGAGGACAGUUUUUCUGAAGGUUGCCCAGAAUCACAUCCACAGUGGACUCUGUGUGAUUAAGAAACAGACUUUUGUUGUCUCCUGCCACUGGGAUUCAAGGAUUAUUUGUUACGGCAGCAUCACCU